GGCCCCCGCGCCCGUGGCAGAACUGUGAGUGCUCGCUCUGGGGCAGAACUGCGAAGAGCAGAGAACCUCCCGAGUCCACGCUGCGGGGGUCUCAGGCCCUCCUUCCCGAAGGUGGCUGCCUUGCGGGCAGCAUCCCACAGGCUGUGCAAGGUGUCCGGGAGCGCUUGGCUCCUCCUCUUCCCGGAGAGUCAGCCCUGGUGUGGUUGCUCUAGGUUCGAAAUAUGCAACUUAUGCACUUGAGGAAG
rnacentral:lncRNA from 1 species